rnacentral:rRNA from 1 species
AGAUUGAACGCUGGCGGCAUGCCUUACACAUGCAAGUCGAACGGCAGCACGGGAGCAAUCCUGGUGGCGAGUGGCGAACGGGUGAGUAAUACAUCGGAACGUGCCCAAUCGUGGGGGAUAACGCAGCGAAAGCUGUGCUAAUACCGCAUAAGAUCUACGGAUGAAAGCAGGGGAUCGCAAGACCUUGCGCGAAUGGAGCGGCCGAUGGCAGAUUAGGUAGUUGGUGAGGUAAAGGCUCACCAAGCCUUCGAUCUGUAGCUGGUCUGAGAGGACGACCAGCCACACUGGGACUGGAGACACGGCCCAGACCUCCUACGGGAGGCAGCAGGUGGGAAUUUGGACAGUGGGACGAAAGCCUGAUCCAGCCAUCGCCGCGUGCGAGUAUACGGAAGGUCCGUUCGGUUAGUAAACGUGU